UUCUCUCCUCUACCCAAACAUGGACUAUGCAACUCUCUACUCAUACUUGGAUAAAAAGAUUAACAUGCCAAAGUUGACCUCAAUGUCCCCUUCCAAGCUGACUGCUGCCACACUGAUCCCCAUUUCAAUGAAAGGCAUUAUCAGACUGUCUUCAGACCUACCUAAAGGUGGCUGUGAGGGCGCCAGUCAUGUGAAGUGCAGCAUCUUGAUUCCUAGAAGGACAGUUGGUUAGAAAAAAGAUUGGUAGCCAAGAGAAAGACAUUCUUUCCUUUAUCUGCCUCUGAAGCAACUGGGAGGGGUUUCUACAAACUUCAUCCUCUGGACAGACAAGAUCCUACUUUCACACGCAGAGAGAGAGAGGCAGAGACACAGGCAGAGGGAGAAGCAG